UCUACAUGUUUGUCUCUGUUGUUGUCUCUGCAGCCAACGGUAUGUACAUGGGAAGCCAAGAAAUGAGACUGGUUGUAGAAAGAGACAACGCAACUGUACGUCAACACCUCAGCAAGCUUAUUUUUUACUACGGAGCCACGGAUCACUGGUGCCCUGUGCAGUAUUACCAUGAUAUCAAAAAAGACUUCCCUGAAGGGGACAUCCGUCUGUGUGAAAGGGGCAUCCGGCAUGCAUUUGUCCUGGAUGCAGGGGAGGAAAUGGCUAACAUGACGGCAGAGUGGAUCUUUGAUAAUUGAGGACGCUCUGACUGCAAGAUUAACAUUUCAUUCCUGUUUAACCUCUACCAGCCAAGUAUUCAAACUGAGCCCCCUGUGUGUUUUUUAAUGCAACCAAUACUUUAAGGUGUAUUACCUAUUUCCAUGGCAAAGCAUCAUGCUUGUAACAAAACACUUUAAAAAGGUGCGGUAUCACUGAUGUAUUGAUGGCAUUUUAUUUUUCAAAUAUUCAUGAUUGUAAAAUAUCUGGUUAUUAUUGUUAUGCGGUGUAUUGCUGUAGUUUACUUCAAGAAUCUCUCGUUUCUGUCAAGUGGAAAUUGUAAUUGUCUGUUUGUGAUGUUUAUGGGAAUGAUUUCUAAACACACAAAUGUGCAGUGGAGUGUGGAGCAGGACACAAGUCAAUUAUUUAUUUAUUAUAGUGGACCAUGGUUAUCUUUUGAACUUGAGUUAACCAGACCGCUCACAUAAGAAGAAACUUCUUAUAUAUAUCAACCUGGAAUAAAGAUAUUGAUCUCUUGAUGGAAAAUGUAUUUUUAUAAUUUAAAUGAUUUUAUAUUAUUAUUCAAUAACAUCAGAAUGUUAAAAAACAAUGCAUAUUACUACCUUCACAGAUAAUUAUUUAGACCGCAAAAGAUUAAAACUGCGUUUCUGUUCAUAGAAUGUCCCAUUGUUAAUAAACACAUUUGCAGUUGAAUCAAUAAAAGCUGGUUAAGAGACAAA